CGUAGGAGGCGAGCGUUAUCCGGAUUCACUGGGCGUAAAGCGCGUGCAGGUGGCUUGGUAAGUUAGGCGUGAAAUCUCCCGGCUCAACUGGGAGAGGUCGUCUAAUACUACCGGGCUAGAGAGCAGAAGAGGAAGAUGGAAUUCCCGGUGUAGUGGUGAAAUGCGUAGAUAUCGGGAGGAACACCAGUGGCGAAGGCGAUCUUCUGGUCUGUUUCUGACACUCAGACGCGACAGCUAGGGUAGUAAACGGGAUUAGAGACCCCGGUAAUCCUAGCCGUAAACGAUGUGAACUUGGCGUUGGUGGGUUAAACUCCAUCAGUGCCGCAGCAAACGCGAUAAGUUCACCGCCUGGGGACUACGGCCGCAAGGUUA
rnacentral:rRNA from 1 species